rnacentral:rRNA from 1 species
UACGAAGGGGGCUAGCGUUGCUCGGAAUCACUGGGCGUAAAGGGUGCGUAGGCGGGUUUUUAAGUCAGGGGUGAAAUCCUGGAGCUCAACUCCAGAACUGCCUUUGAUACUGAAGAUCUUGAGUCCGGGAGAGGUGAGUGGAACUGCGAGUGUAGAGGUGAAAUUCGUAGAUAUUCGCAAGAACACCAGCGGCGAAGGCGGCGCUCUGGGCCGGUACUGACACUGAGGAGCGAAAGCGUGGGUAGCAAACAGG